rnacentral:lncRNA from 1 species
AUGUGCUGCAUCGAUGACGUCGUCCCCACAGUGACUGUAUGUACAUAUUCCAACCAAAAGUCAUGGAUAACAAGCAACAUCCGCACUGAGCUAAUGGGUAGAGCUGCUGCUUUCAAGGAGCGGGACUCUAACCCGGAAGCUUGUAAGAAAUCCCACUAUGCCCUCCGACGAACCAUCAAACAGGCAAAGUGUCAGAACAGGACUAAGAUCGAAUCGUACUUCACCGGCUCCGAUGCUCGUCGGAUGUGGCAGGGCUUGCAAACUAUUACAGACUACAAAGGGAAGCACAGCCGAGCGCUGCCCAGUGACACGAGCCUACCAGACGAGCUGUAUUACUUCUAUGCUCACUUCAAGGCAAGUAAAACUGAAACAUGCAUGAGAGCAUCAGCUGUUCUGGACGACUGUGUGAUCACGCUCUCCACAGCCGAUGCGAGUGAGACCUUUAAACAGGUCAACAUUCACAAGGCCACAGGGCCAGACAGAUUACCAGGAUGUGUACUCCGAGCAUGCGCUGACCAACUGGCAAGUGUCUUCACUGACAUUUUUAACCUCUCCCUUUCUGAGUCUGUAAUACCAACAUGUUUCAAGCAGACCACCAUAGUCCCUGUGCCCAAGAACACUAAGGUAACCUGCCUAAAUGACUACCGACCCAUAACACUCACGUCUGUAGCCAUAAAGUGCUUUGAAAGGUUGGUCAUGGCUCACAACACCAUUAUCCCAGAAACCGUAGACCCACUCCAAUUUGCAUACAGCCCCAACAUAUCCACAGAUGAUGCAAUCUCUAUUGCACUCCACACUGCCCUUUCACACCUGGACAAAAGGAACACCUAUGUGAGAAUGCUAUUCAUUGACUACAGCUCAGCGUUCAACACCAUAGUGCCCUCAAAGCUCAUUACUAAGCUAAGGACCCUGGGACUAAACACCUCCAUCUGCAACUGGAUCUUGGACUUCCUGACGGGCCGCCCCCAGGUGGUAAGGGUAGGUAACAACACAUCCGCCACGAUGAUCCUCAAUACAGGGGCCCCUCAGGGAUAA